UUUGUGGUGAUUAUGAGAAUGGAAUACCAUGUGACAUUCGCAGUAUAUACAUUGGACCUAAGGUACAAUGUCAGACUGGAAAAGAUUUUUGCAUGACGGACAUAUUUCAUGACGUAUCCGGAAAUGAAAGCGUUUUCAAAAGGUGCGUGAACGAGACAGUUUGCAGAACUCAGUGGUUAUCUCAGACCUCCGACCAGGACCACUGCAUUCAGUUCGGUAAAGUCCUGGUUAGUGGCGCUUACUCCUGUCACUUUUGCUGUACAUCUGAUGAAUGCAAUCAAGGACUACUACCAGAUUCUACAACCCUCUAUACCAGGCGAUGAGAUCUUUAUCAUUCUUUUUCCUUUAAUAAAUCCUUUAUAAAUUCAA